AACGCACAUUGCGCCCGCCAGCACUCUGGCGGGCAUGCCUGUCCGAGCGUCAUUUCAACCCUCGAGCCCCCCCGGGGGCCCCGGCGUUGGGGGCCGGCCCCGGCCGCCCCCGAAAUGCAGUGGCGACCUCGCCGCAGCCUCCCCUGCGCAGUAGCACACACCUCGCACCGGAGCGCGGAGACGGUCACGCCGUGAAACGCACCAGCUUUCCAGAGUUGACCUCGGAUCAGGUAGGAAUACCCGCUGAACUUAA
rnacentral:misc_RNA from 1 species